UGUCUAGAAAACAAAAUGGUGGUUUCACUCCCUGUUUAUCUGAAAAUCUCAUAAAUUGGCCAAAGCUUUAAGUUGGACUUCACGCCAUCAUCCUCUUCUGCCAGCUCCACAUGGACUCCUGUAUCCUCCUGGAAGAACAAGUGAUCCAGAAGAUCUUGGAUGGUAUAUCUGCAAGGAAGGUAGAGGGGAAAGAUGGAUUUAAAUUCAGACCACGGAAUUAAGACGGUGGCGAAGGCUGCUCUCCCACAGGUGCUGGAUUCAUCCCACACCCCAAUCCGUGCAGUCCAGGAGGGAAACCCACCCCUCGACCAGCAGCAGUGACCAGAAAACUCCCAGGUGUUCCUCCAUGGGAGUGACAAGCCACAGAGACCAUGCUGGAGUGACUGGCUGGCAGCCCCCCCAUACAGAUGUCUUUCCCUUUCAGGCUCUGCUCCAUUCUGGAUGCUAUUCGAGAAAGGCUUUGACUUUGGUACACGCAUUGUUUCUUUGGACACUUCCAGACUGUCACUAUUUUCAGGGGGGAUUACCGGCAAAUUCAGGUUGCACAAUUAUAGUUGAUCAGGAAGUCUUGCACAAGAAAUCUGCUUCCCUAAAAGAUGGCUCUUUGCCCUGCGGAAAGUGACAGGAGAAUCCACUGGAAAGGGUGUGAUGACACUUGCUUUGAUGCAACAUCAUCUGACCUCUCCACAAACAAAUCAGGAUGAAUACUCCUUAAACGGCCAGUCUCCCUGUAUACAAAUCAGGAUGGAUGCUCAAUAAACAGGUCAUCUGGAAGCACCCUUUCUUGCUAAGGAGGAGGUAGAUAGGGAUGCUUUACCCAUGCUCUAGUGUGAGGAUAGGACUCUGAGGGUGUGGGCAGGGAACAGGAGCGGCUCUGCUGGCAUAGCAGCAGCAUAUCUCCACCCCCACUCUGCCCAGCCCAGCCUAAUUGCAAUACAGUAUAAGAUUGCUCUGUCACGGUUUAAGGAAAGUCUCUUAUUGCAUAUGAUCUUGGCUACUACAUUCUAGUUAUUGAAAAUCUACACGAAUCCCUUAGAAUUUGGCAGUGCUGAACAAGAUGAUGUCACAUACACAGGUGAAAUGAAAAAAAGAUGAGCUUAAUAAAUUUGGAGAGAAAACAGAGACGCUUUAGGAAAUUUUGGAAUGCUAAACAGUUACCAGAGGAAAUCCUUUUCCACUGCUGUACCUUUACAGCUGUUGGUUAUAUCAUGGGGAAUUUUCUUUUAAUUGACUGUAUUAGCUUAAUUGUUUUUAUUAUAAAUAUUUAUCAG